rnacentral:rRNA from 1 species
AAUGAACGUUGGCGGCAUGGAUUAGGCAUGCAAGUCGAGCGAGAACCGUAGCAAUACGGGGACAGCGGCGAAAGGGAGAGUAAUGUGUGGAUAUCUACCUCCAGGCCUGGGACAACUACGGGAAACUGUAGCUAAUACCAGAUAAUGUCUGCGGACCAAAGGUGUGAUUCCUCCGGGAGAUGAGUCAACAUCCUAUUAGCUAGUUGGUAGGGUAAGGGCCUACCAAGGCAAUGAUGGGUAGCAGGUGUGAGAGCACGACCUGCCUCAUUGGGACUGAGACACUGCCCAGACACCUACGGGUGGCUGCAGUCGAGAAUCUUCGGCAAUGGGCGCAAGCCUGACCGAGCGAUGCCGCGUGCGGGAUGAAGGCCUUCGGGUUGUAAACCGCUGUCAGAGGGGAUGAAAUACGUCGGGGGUUCUCCCCCGGGUUUGACAUAUCCUCAGAGGAAGGACGGGCU